GUCAUUCCUUUGACAUGCUGCUAAGAGGAAGGAAGACGGCUCCUGUGUGGACUCAGAAGACGCAACUUGAUUACCUGGUAGUCCAGGGGCCAAAGGUGGACCUGGAGUUCAAGGUGAGCCUGGUCCCAGAAGUCAUGCCGGCAUGUCCGUUGACCCUUGACCUUUGGUUUUGUCGGGACUCCUGAUGACGUUUUGAGACAUCUACAAGUACAGCACCAGAAUUGUGCUGCUGAAGCAAGUCUGUUUUUCUUCCUUUUUUUUCCCGUGGGCAGUAGACAAUGUGUAAUUACAACGUAAUAGUGUAAUAACAAUGGUGUAGGUUCAGGCUGUGGGCAGUAGACAAUGUGUAAUAACAAACAGCGCCAGGGGUUUGUAAACUCAAUAAAGCAACUACACUAGAAUGCAAAAUAUAUAUAUUGUAAUAUCCCAGGAAUGUAGACUUAUACAACUUCUUUGUUUGUCAUGUCUUUAUUGUAAAAUAUGCGAUUCAACCACACAACAACCCCAAUGUCUCCCUUCUUUUCCCAGCAAAACACUUUUUUUUUUUUAAUAAACCUUCAUUUAUAAUAUCCAACAUUUACAUACAAGCAAAUAAAUAAUAAUCAAAAUAAGUACAGAAACACUACAAAAACAGUACAAAACAGUGCCAGGGGGUUUUGUUUUCACAGCUUUUUGGUUAGAGGUAGAAAUUGUUCUAAAAUUUCCCGGCAAUACUUGAACUCUUUACCUUCUUGUUAACGUCACUUCCCUUUUUGUCCCCGGAAGUCCCGCCUCCCAGCCAAAGUCAUUGGCUAACACCCCGGAGCCAGCCGCUACAAUAUGUAGCAAUGCAAUUGGCUUAAUGGUUUACAAUUAUCAAUCAAAUCUUGGAGAAUGAUUAAGUGAUUUAGGUAGCCCUUUUUUUCUUUUCAUGUUUUUUUAUAUUUUUUAUAACUGUUUAUUAAUUAAUUCUCUAUCUGUAUUUGCUUUUUUUUUUCUUCUUUCCUCGAUGUUGAAAGUGCCUUGAGUUUUGUGUGAAUUAUAAAUGUAUGU